UUGAACGCUGGCGGCAGGCCUAACACAUGCAAGUCGAGCGGCAGCGCGGGGCAACCUGGCGGCGAGCGGCGGACGGGUGAGUAACGCGUAGGAAUCUACCCAGUAGCGGGGGAUAGCCCGGGGAAACUCGGAUUAAUACCGCAUACGCCCUAAGGGGGAAAGCAGGGGAUCGUAAGACCUUGCACUAUUGGAAGAGACUGCGUUGGAUUAGCUAGUUGGUAGGGUAAAGGCCUACCAAGGCGACGAUCCAUAACUGGUCUGAGAGGAUGAUCAGUCACACCGGAAAUGAGACACGGUCCGGACUCCUACGGGAGGCAGCAGUGGGGAAUAUUGGACAAUGGGGGGAACCCUGAUCCAGCCAUGCCGCGUGUGUGAAGAAGGCCUUAUGGUUGUAAGGCACUUUAAGCGAGGAGGAGGCUCUUUUGGUUAAUACCCAAGAUGAGUGGACGUUACUCGCAGAAUAAGCACCGGCUAACUCUGUGCCAGCAGCCGCCGCGG
rnacentral:rRNA from 1 species